rnacentral:rRNA from 1 species
AACGAACGCUGGCGGCAUGCCUAACACAUGCAAGUCGAACGAGACCUUCGGGUCUAGUGGCGCACGGGUGCGUAACGCGUGGGAACCUGCCCUUAGGUUCGGAAUAACUCCCCGAAAGGGGUGCUAAUACCGGAUAAUGUCUUCGGACCAAAGAUUUAUCGCCUUUGGAUGGGCCCGCGUUGGAUUAGUUAGUUGGUAGGGUAAAAGCCUACCAAGGCGACGAUCCAUAGCUGGUCUGAGAGGAUGAUCAGCCACACUGGGACUGAGACACGGCCCAGACUCCUACGGGAGGCAGCAGUGGGGAAUAUUGGACAAUGGGCGAAAGCCUGAUCCAGCAAUGCCGCGUGAGUGAUGAAGGCCUUAGGGUUGUAAAGCUCUUUUACCCGGGAUGAUAAUGACAGUACCGGGAGAAUAAGCUCCGGCUAACUCCGU